ACCUAAACCCGACCGUAGCGAGAUGCUCCGAUUUCUUCAAUUGGAGCAGAAGCGGGGGCGGGACUAUAC
rnacentral:sRNA from 1 species